AUGGCCUCCUCCACUUGUACCCGAGCCCAGCUGGCCGUCGCCCUCCUGGCCGUCGCGCUGUGCAAUGCGGCCCUCCUCGUCGUCGUCGACGCCGGCUACCCCCGCGGCGGGGACUACCGGGCGCAGUUCCUGUUCCAGCAGAACGCGGCGCGGGCGGCGAUGGGGCUGCCGGCGCUGAGGUGGGACGAGCGGGUGGCGGCGUACGCGCGGUCGUACGCCGAGUCGCGGCGCGGGGACUGCGCGCUGGUGCACUCGUCGGGGCCAUACGGGGAGAACCUCUUCUGGGGGAGCGGCACGGGGUGGGCGCCGGCGCAGGCCGUCGGGGCGUGGCUGGCGGAGCGGCCCCGGUACGACUACUGGAGCAACCGCUGCAGCGGCGGCAUGUGCGGGCACUACACGCAGAUCGUGUGGCGCGGCAGCACCCGCGUGGGCUGCGCCAUGGUCGAGUGCUACGCCGGCCGCGGCACCUUCAUCACCUGCAACUACGACCCGCCCGGCAACUACGUCGGCAUGCGCCCCUACUGA
rnacentral:rRNA from 1 species